rfam:Anaerolineae bacterium 49_20 MPI_scaffold_7374, whole genome shotgun sequence.
GGGGAGGUGCCAGAGUGGACGAUUGGGGCCGCCUGCUAAGUGGUUGUUGGAGUAAAAUCCAACCGAGGGUUCGAAUCCCUCCCUCCCCG